GUCUACGACCAUGCUACCCUGAACAAGCCCGAUCCCUUCUGAUCUCGGAAGCUAAGCAGGGUCGGGCCUGGUUAGUACUUGGAUGGGAAACCACCGAGGAAGACCAGGUGCUGUAGGCA
rnacentral:rRNA from 1 species